UGAGAGUCUCACACAUCGUCCCCACAUCUCACACUGGGUCGUGCAAUCUGGGAUUUCCCCACAACCAAUGUCCAGCUGCUCGAAAUUUCUGCUUCAUUGCAGGACGAGCGUCCGGCCCCAUCUGUAGAAGCUCAAACCAAAGUCAAAGCCAAAACACCAAUAGUUCCAUUUGCCUGGAAAGCCGAUCACAGGAUUAGAGCCCAAGCACCAACUCUCCCAGUACUCUUUGCUGCCAGCAAAAUGCUGCAGUGUGUCAGCCCGUCACUGUUCAUAAACUAGCACCUCCACACCAAUGCACAACAGAACUGGGACCUGAUGACCCUCCGGCAUUCCAGCUAACAAUAACCGAUUCUGGAAAUGACUCAGCGAGGCCAAAGGUACAAAAGAACACUUCACAAUGAAGACAGAGGUUGGAGGAAAGAUUGCUGAUAUAUAAUAUUGAGGAGGUGGGAUACAGGGUGGACCGAAGAUGACCCAGAUGGGAGAUGUAAAUCACUGAAGCAGGAAGAUGGGUUUAGGAGACUGCACAGAGGUUGAACAAGAUGAGCAGAGAUAAGCAGAUGGAACCAGGUGGGAGAAGGGAUCAUACAUUCAGAGGUGCAGUGCUACCAGAGCUCACCGGACAACUGCUCCGAUACCUCUGUAAAAAAGUCAAAAUAAACAAGCGGGUAAUUUAACAGCAGCCACAUAUUAAAUAGAGGGAAUUCUACGGAAGCAGGGGGUUGGGAAGUGGGGGUGUUGGCUGGUGGGGAAAAGUACCAGUAAUAACAUUAGGAUAUUUGAUCGUUUUUGGUUUAAUCCUGGAGCUGUGACUGUUUUUUAUUUAGGUAUUUGUGAAAUUCCUUCUCGCUCGACCCAUUGUCCAAGGAAGCUGGGAAAUACCUGCACAGAAGUGCAAGCAUUUUCCUGCUCUUUCCAACGGGUACCAUUGGAUUCCAGGAAGGAGCUAUAUUAAGCAAGGAAUGAACAUAGAAACCCAAGUUUAGAAGUUUAAAACAAUGAAAGAAAAAUUCACUGCUCGCUCAUCUUCUUCCUGAUUUUGAUCAAAUACACAAGCUAAUCAUCCAAAAUCCUCUUCUACACCUGGAUAAAUUUAGUUUUGUUUUACAAGCUAAAUGGAAAAAAAAACAUUUCUGGGCUAUAAGGUAGUUUUAUGUCAUUUCAACUAUCAUUAAUAGCGGAUCAACCCCUUGGCCUCGCUCCACCAACUGUAGCUGAUGGGAAAGAGGCUCGUUUUCUCUUUGUGUUGAUAGGAAAAAGAGUAAUUUAGUGAGGCAAUGAAUGAGAUGAAAUGCAUUUCCAAAACUCCCAAAUGGUUGCUGUCCUCCCGUUAACAUUUGUCACUUCCAAACAACGAUAUUUUCUAUUUGUAUAAAUGCGAUAAUAAUUUAUGUAAAGAUUCAAACUUCUUUAACUUUUUAUAUAUUUAAAGACUAAACAGGAUCUGUAAAGGUCGAACUAUGUAACACCCGACGUGUGAGGAGAUUGUAUCGACACUCACAGAUACACUUCCCGUCCAACCAUUUCUGCGAGAGAAAUGAACCACGAAACAAAGAAAGAGCAUGAAAGUCGCUCAGGGAGAAAAAUCAAACUCCCACCCCACCCCCCGGAUCAAGAAGAACGGGAUCCCAAUCAUCAAACC